AAAUCUCUUACUUUGAACUGCCGCGGGGUCAUUAUAUCGGUUAUAAUUUAUUUGAUAGUCCCUUACUACUUGGAUAACCGUAGUAAUUCUAGAGCUAAUACAUGCGUCAAUACCCUUGUGGGGUAGUAUUUAUUAGAUUGAAACCAACCCCUUCGGGGUGAUGUGGUGAUUCAUAAUAAGCUUGCGGAUCGCAUGGCUUCUGCCGGCGAUGGAUCAUUCAAGUUUCUGCCCUAUCAGCUUUGGAUGGUAGGGUAUUGGCCUACCAUGGCUUCAACGGGUAACGGGGAAUGGGGCGGGGGCGGCGGGCCGGGCGCGGGGCGCGGCGGGCGA
rnacentral:rRNA from 1 species